rnacentral:lncRNA from 1 species
CUUGACACAGUUUCCAGUUCUCCACCCGCUCCAGUUCCACAGUAAGAUGGAUCCAGACAUCUGUGUCAUACAACUCCCUCCUGGGGACCACCCCACUAUGGGACAGCUAGAUGCAGCCUGUUUGACUGCCUCCUGACCCCAACACCCAGCAUGACUAUGACUGUGCAGAUUUUCAAUGACUGCCUCUCAGUCACUGUGUGACCUCCUGGGACCCGUGCCUGCUUGCUCCAAACCCACUACUUAAAACCCUCUGCUGGAAACCUGUUUGGAUGAUAGUCAAGGCGUGGCCCCAUGUCCCUUCCUCGCUCCAGGCGCUCCCUGACCUCCAUGCAUGUGGCCUCUGGGAAUGCUGUGUACUCUCAGGACGUCACAGACUCGAGAAAUGUAGGGAACUCGAGAGCAGCCACUCGGCCCCAGGAUCAACCCAGCACCGAAGAAAAACAACCAGAAGAAAUUAUUCUUCAGCCUGAAAUGAAGCCGGGAUCAAAUGGUUGCUGAUCAGAGCCCAUAUUUAAAUUGGAAAAGUCAAAUUGAGCAUUAUUAAAUAAAGCUUGUUUAAUAUGUCUCAAACAGAA